UCACACCAGCACUCAAAGAUAAAAAUGGCAUGCUUAAGAGCAAAGGGAAAGAAGAAAGUAGAGGGCCCACUCAGGAUCACAGAGCUGAAGAUAAAGACUAAGGCCAGAGAAGAAAAAGGGCUUUUUCAUAUAUCCAGUUGAAAGAGUGCAUGGUUCUCUGAUACUGAAUCCAAACAUACAUUGAAAUACAGUGAGAAUGUGGCAGAUUAUGCGGGGAAAAGAAUUGGAAUUCCUGGGAAGUCAUGAGAAGAUUGUCAUGUUGAUUUAAGCAAGUGU